rnacentral:rRNA from 1 species
AUUGAACGCUGGCGGCAUGCUUUACACAUGCAAGUCGAACGGCAGCGCGGGCUUCGGCCUGGCGGCGAGUGGCGAACGGGUGAGUAAUACAUCGGAACGUGCCCAGUAGUGGGGGAUAGCUCGGCGAAAGCCGGAUUAAUACCGCAUACGACCUGAGGGUGAAAGCGGGGGAUCUUCGGACCUCGCGCUAUUGGAGCGGCCGAUGGCAGAUUAGCUAGUUGGUGGGGUAAAGGCCUACCAAGGCGACGAUCUGUAGCUGGUCUGAGAGGACGACCAGCCACACUGGGACUGAGACACGGCCCAGACUCCUACGGGAGGCAGCAGUGGGGAAUUUUGGACAAUGGGCGAAAGCCUGACCCAGCAAUGCCGCGUGUGUGAUGAAGGCCUUCGGGUUGUAAAGCACUUUUGGCGGGAACGAAAAGGACUGUGCCAAUACCACGGUUCGAUGACGGUACCCGCAGAAUAAGCACCGGCUAACUACGUG